rnacentral:rRNA from 1 species
CUAGCGGAGGAAAAGAAACUAACAGGGAUUCCCUUAGUAAGGGCGACUGAAACGGGAUGAGCCCAGCGCAUAACCUCGCACCCCUGCCGGGGCCAGCGAGGGGUGUUGCGUUCCGGAGGGUCCGGCACGCCGACUCCUGCUGCCUAAGUCAUGCUUGAAAGCGGCCACUACCCACGGAGGGUGAUAGGCCCGUACGGCACGAACCCGCAAGGGUGUAUGGAGUCGGUGGAAAGGUCCUCUCCGUCGAGUCGGGUUGCUUGAGAGUGCAGCCCAAAGCAGGUGGUAAACUCCUUCUAAAGCUAA